rnacentral:rRNA from 1 species
CGCUGAACUUAAGCAUAUCAAUAAGCGGAGGAAAAGAAACCAACAGGGAUUGCCCUAGUAACGGCGAGUGAAGCGGCAACAGCUCAAAUUUGAAAUCUGGCUCUCGGGCCCGAGUUGUAAUUUGUAGAGGAUACUUUUGAUGCGGUGCCUUCCGAGUUCCCUGGAACGGGACGCCAUAGAGGGUGAGAGCCCCGUCUGGUUGGAUGCCAAAUCUCUGUAAAGUUCCUUCAACGAGUCGAGUAGUUUGGGAAUGCUGCUCUAAAUGGGAGGUAUAUGUCUUCUAAAGCUAAAUACCGGCCAGAGACCGAUAGCGCACAAGUAGAGUGAUCGAAAGAUGAAAAGCACUUUGAAAAGAGAGUUAAAAAGUACGUGAAAUUGUUGAAAGGGAAGCGUUUAUGACCAGACUUGGACUUGGUUAAUCAUCUGGGGUUCUCCCCAGUGCACUUUUCCAGUUCAGGCCAGCAUCAGUUUUCCCCGGGGGAUAAAGACUUCGGGAAUGUGGCACUCUUCGGGGUGUGUUAUAGCCCGUUGUGUAAUACCCUGGGGGGGACUGAGGUUCGCGCAUCUGCAAGGAUGCUGGCGUAAUGGUCA